GAUGAAGAACGUAGCGAAAUGCGAUAAGUAAUGUGAAUUGCAGAAUUCAGUGAACCAUCGAAUCUUUGAACGCACAUUGCGCCCGGCAGUAAUCUGCCGGGCAUGCCUGUCCGAGCGUCAUUUCUGCCCUCGAGCGAGUCCAGCAUCUAGGUGCUGGGCCCGCCCGGCGUUGGGGCACUACGGGAAGCCCUGUGUUGUCCCCCGUAGGCCCCGAAAUGAAGUGGCGGUCCUGCCGCGGCGCCCCCUGCGUAGUAUAACAGCUCGCUUCGGGACCCGGUGGAGGCCUGCCGUCAAACCUUACUCUCUAAGUUUGACCUCGGAUCAGGUAGGGUUACCCGCUGAACUUAAGCAUAUCAAUAAGCGGAGGA
rnacentral:misc_RNA from 1 species